rnacentral:rRNA from 1 species
CUACGGGCGGCAGCAGUGGGGAAUAUUGGACAAUGGGGGAAACCCUGAUCCAGCAAUGCCGCGUGUGUGAAGAAGGCCUGCGGGUUGUAAAGCACUUUCGGUUGGGAGGACUGCUUCUAGCACUAAUAUUGUUGGAAGUUGACGUUACCUUCAGAAGAAGCACCGGCUAACUCCGUGCCAGCAGGCCGCGGUAAUACGGAGGGUGCAAGCGUUAAUCGGAAUUACUGGGCGUAAAGCGCGCGUAGGCGGCUAGGUCAGUCGGGUGUGAAAGCCCCGGGCUUAACCUGGGAACUGCAUCCGAUACUGUCUAGCUUGAGUACAGGAGAGGAGAGUGGAAUUCCACAUGUAGCGGUGAAAUGCGUAGAUAUGUGGAGGAACACCAAUGGCGAAGGCAGCUCUCUGGCCUGAUACUGACGCUGAGGUGCGAAAGCGUGAGGAGCAAACAGGAUUAGAUACCCGGGUAGUC